AGGCGGGCAAGACUGCGCCCACACGAGCAGCAGGGGGUUCAGCCGGGUCCCCGGAAGGCAGCAGGGAAACCCACCCGCAAAGACGCUCCGUGCGCGGGGACUCCCUACGCCUGCGGUGCGGGAAGCCGGUGGCGGGAUCCCGACCGGUCCUAGGAGACCGCUUCAGCUGCGAGUCCGGGUAACAGAAUGCCCGAAGCCAAUUAAUAUGCACACAUCUGCAGAUGGUUUUGAGAGAAAUUAACGGAGAAUUGGAAACAUACAUUCUUACUGCCAAUGAAAAAGACUCAACUCUGAAAAUACCGUUCCUCGUAAAACAGCAGAACAAACUACACAGGAAGAUUAGCUUGCUAGAAUUAAGGAUUUUUCUGAAUGUCUGUCAGAAAGAAAUAUCAUUGACUCAGGAGCAAAACUUCAAUAAUUUGCAUACACUGAAAAAGGGGGGAGGGUAGUCCUGAAAAAGCUGCUGUUGUAUUGUUUGAUAGCAUCAAAACUGAAGGGAACUGCAUUGAUUUCUUCUCAUAACAUUGUGAAAUUCACAGUAAGUGGAUUGUUUCAAAUAUGAAUUCAUUUAUCAUAUGCUCUUUUAAAAUGUAGUGUAACCCCAUUCUGUCAAAAAAUGUGAGAAAUCGUCUUUAAUUAGAAAAAGAUUUGUAAAUCUUUACUCAGUUUUUACUAGCAUUUGUGGUUAUAAACUUGCUUAGCUGGAGUGUUAUAGCUAUGAAAAUUAGCAAUAAAAACUUCUGAUUCCUCUAUUCCCUCCUAAAUUUCAUCAU